GCAGACUCUGUAAAGACCCGGAGCACUUGCAGGCAAAACUAAAAUGCACACACACCCCCUUUUACUUUUUCUUUUUCUUUCUUUUCUUCUUCUUCUUUUUUUUUUUUUUUAUAAAAGAAAGAAAAGAAAAUCAUUAACUGGGUUCAGAUCUAAAAUGCUGCUUUUAAAAUGCACGCACAUGUUGAAGACUCAGCGACUGUAAUUUCUUGGGUAAACAUCUGGUGAAGACAUUCCAGGAACACAUCUGAAAGGAAGAAAGGCCCAACUUAGCAUCCAGAGACCGUGCGUCGUCUGGCCUCGCAGACCUUUCCGAGACGUCUGGCGUCCGGGGGACGACUUCCCUGAUCCCAGUCCCUAGUGGACCGCGGACUUUACCAGCUUCAAAGGUCUGGCCUCCAGCGCCGAGGAUGCCGGUGGCGUUAGGGAUGUUGCGCACACCUGCAGAUUUUAAAGCAGCCCACCGGAGAUCAGAUCGGGAGGAUCCGUUUUUCCUUCGGGCUACCUAAUAAAGCAAAGAGCUAGACCUUCACAAAAGGAAAAACAUUUUGUUUAAGCCUGUCCUUUCUUAGGAAGCGCACAGAGACCAGGCCCACCGAUAUUCCGGAUAAACUUAACGCUACCAGAAAUGUGCGGUGCAUUUGACUUGGGCUGGGGACUCAUUGAAGACCAGACUCUUAGAGUUAAACUCGCCUCUCUCUUUUUUGUUUCCAUUGCUCUAGUUUUCCUCCGGUCUCUUUCCUUCUCAGUGUUCCCUACCUCCUGAAGUGAGUUAAUAAAAACAUCACCCCAUUAUAUAUACAUAUAUAAAGUAGACACUAAAAUUGAGAGUUAAUGUUGCAACCAAACUCUUCGGGAAUCUACCGGUCUGUUCACUGCAUCUUUGCCGCUUGUAAUGACAGCCACUAUUGUUCCUAAACUUCACCAAACUAGUUCUUUCAAGUUCUUUGAGAAAGUGUAAUAAACGCUAAUUGGAAAAACA